AGCCUGGGUGCCUAAAAAGAGGGUGGACCCCAUCAUGGAAAAUGUGACUCUGGAGCCGGAGCUAGAAGAAGCCCUGGCGAGCGCUACUGAUGCUGAACUCUGUGACAUCGCAGAUCUUCUCCAUUUCCUCUAGCGCUCCUUCCAUCUUCCCUCCACCUUUCCCCUUCAUCCCUCCAUCAGUCCCUCCAUCUCCUCCAUCCCUGCUGGAUAACUCUGUUCGCUAACUCAACACCAUCCAGGGUAUCUGUAGACUGCACA